GCUGGAAACUAGCAUAUCAAUAAGCGGAGGAAAAGAAACUAACAAGGAUUCCCUAGUAACUGCGAGUGAAGCGGGAAAAGCUCAAAUUUAAAAUCUGGCGGUCUCUGGCCGUCCGAGUUGUAAUCUAGAGAAGUAAUGCCCGUGCUGGACCGUGUAUAAGUCUCCUGGGAUGGGGCGUCAUAGAGGGUGAGAAUCCCGUCUUUGACACGGACUACCAGUGCAUUGUGGUAUGCUCUCAAAGAGUCGAGUUGUUUGGGAAUGCAGCUCAAAAUGGGUGGUAAAUUCCAUCUAAAGCUAAAUAUUGGCGAGAGACCGAUAGCGAACAAGUACCGUGAGGGAAAGAUGAAAAGAACUUUGGAAAGAGAGUUAAACAGUACGUGAAAUUGCUGAAAGGGAAACGCUUGAAGUCAGUCGCGUUGGCCGGGGAUCAGCCUUGCUUUUGCAUGGUGUACUUUCUGGUUGACGGGUCAGCAUCAAUUUUGACCGCUGGAAAAAGACCUGGGGAAUGUGGCAGCUUCGGCUGUGUUAUAGCCCCUAGUCGCAUACAGUGGUUGGGAUUGAGGAACUCAGCACGCCGCAAGGCCGGGUUUCGACCACGUUCGUGCUUAGGAUGCUGGCAUAAUGGCUUUAAGCGACCCGUCUUGAAACACGGACCAAGGAGUCUAACAUGCCUGCGAGUAUUUGGGUGGAAAACCCAAGUGCGUAAUGAAAGUGAAAGUUGAGAUCCCUGUCGUGGGGAGCAUCGACGCCCGGACCAGAACUUUUGGGACGGAUCCGCGGUGGAGCAUGUAUGUUGGGACCCGAAAGAUGGUGAACUAUGCCUGAAUAGGGUGAAGCCAGAGGAAACUCUGGUGGAGGCUCGUAGCGAUUCUGACGUGCAAAUCGAUCGUCAAAUUUGGGUAUAGGGGCGAAAGACUAAUCGACCAUCUAGUAGCUGGUCCUGCCGAGUUUCCCUCAGAACCUCAGACUGCUACUAG
rnacentral:rRNA from 1 species